AGAAUCCUCUACUUGUCCCCCCACCCCAGAUUUUAUGUUCUCUCUGUAGGGGCUACUGCCAAGCCCCCCAGACUCCCCCCAAUGUCCCAGCUGAGGUUAUUUCUAGUAGAGCUGUUGGACUCGAAUCCUCUGCCUAAGAGCAUGUCCACUUAGGAGGCCCUUCCGGCCCUGUCACAUCGGCCUUGGAGCCUUCGCAGGAAAGAGAAAGGGGAAGGCAGAAGGGCCCCUUCCAGGAUGGAUUCCUCCAGCUCGGGAAAGAGCCCCAGCCAACAUGGGCCCAGCCCCCAACAUGCAUCAUGUUGUAGCUCCGGACUUUGGGGCCCACAAAGAAAGGGGGGGAGUUUGGAUUCUUUUCAUUAAAAACAAAACAACAGAGCCUGAAUCUGCAUUUUUCAAACCUUGAUUUCCAGCACUUCUCGCUCUAUUGCUCUAUUCACAAGUCCGCGGCUCUCCCAACUUUCCAGUGUAACCCAAAUCUAAGCCUCAGGGAUAACCCCUUCCACAGUGAUGGAGGGGAUGGAAGGAGCCUUUGAUGCAGCGGACAGACACACUGGAGGGUCACAGAAGUGGCCAAAAGGUUUUGGAGCAGUCCAGGGAUGAGGGGUGUCUUGGGAACAUCCCAGAAGCCACAAUGUCUCUUAAUUUCUUUUCAACAACUUCAUGAGUAUUCAUUCACUUAUUAAAAACAAAAACAAAAAAACAUUUACUGUAUACUUUCUAGGAGUUUGGGCUCUCCAUUUCUUUUCUUUCUUUCUUUCUUUCUUUCUUUCUUUCUUUCUUUCUUUCUUUCUUUCUUUCUUUCUUUCUUUCUUUCUUUCUUUCUUUCUUUCUUUCUUUCUUUCAUCCUUACCCUCUGUCUUAAAAUCACUACUGUGCAUUGGUUCUAAGGCAGAAGAGAGGUAAGGGCUAGGCAAUGGGGGUUAAGUGACUUG